rnacentral:rRNA from 1 species
GAACGCUGGCGGCGUGCUUAACACAUGCAAGUCGAACGGGGUGUUUAUUUCGGUAAACACCAAGUGGCGAACGGGUGAGUAACGCGUAAGCAAUCUACCUUCAAGAUGGGGACAACACUUCGAAAGGGGUGCUAAUACCGAAUGAAUGUAAGAGUAUCGCAUGAGACACUUACUAAAGGAGGCCUCUGAAAAUGCUUCCGCUUGAAGAUGAGCUUGCGUCUGAUUAGCUAGUUGGUGAGGGUAAAGGCCCACCAAGGCGACGAUCAGUAGCCGGUCUGAGAGGAUGAACGGCCACAUUGGGACUGAGACACGGCCCAGACUCCUACGGGAGGCAGCAGUGGGGAAUCUUCCGCAAUGGGCGAAAGCCUGACGGAGCAACGCCGCGUGAACGAUGAAGGUCUUAGGAUCGUAAAGUUCUGUUGUUAGGGACGAAGGAUAAGGAUUAUAAUACAGUCUUUGUUUGACGGUACCUAACGAGGAAGCCACGGCUAACUACGUGCCAGCAGCCGCGGUAAUACGUAGGCGGCAAGCGUUGUCCGGAAUUAUUGGGCGUAAAGGGAGCGCAGGCGGGAAACUAAGCGGAUCUUAAAAGUGCGGGGCUCAACCCCGUGAUGGGGUCCGAACUGGUUUUCUUGAGUGCAGGAGAGGAAAGCGGAAUUCCCAGUGUAGCGGUGAAAUGCGUAGAUAUUGGGAAGAACACCAGUGGCGAAGGCGGCUUUCUGGACUGUAACUGACGCUGAGGCUCGAAAGCUAGGGUAGCGAACGGGAUUAGAUACCCCGGUAGUCCUAGCCGUAAACGAUGGAUACUAGGUGUGGGAGGUAUCGACUCCUUCCGUGCCGGAGUUAACGCAAUAAGUAUCCCGCCUGGGGAGUACGGCCGCAAGGUUGCAA